GCCGGAGUGGCCUGGCCGGCGGCUGCACGUCAAGGAGCCACCGAGCAGCAGGAAGGGCCACGUAAUUCCGAGAGUCACAAAUGCAAAUCGCUCUCGCGCACCCAACCUAACCGGUGCUGGCUGACCAGCUCGGCUGCAGCCUGCAAUAUAAGACGCUGUCGCAUCGCACACAUGCCACAUAUUAACGCGUUAAAACGAGAAGAAAAAAAAAACGGGGCCCAGGGACCAGGAGGCGACGGCGUAACCCAUCAUGGCAGCAGUCAAAUGGAAAAUGCAAACAGGAGAAAGCUUUGAGGAAUAUUGAUUUAACGCUGCAUCCAGGCAGAUGGAGAUUACACACGCUCUACUUCCCCUUUACCUUGCGCCGUGCAUGUCGGCGCGGCGCUUAAGAGCAAGGAGGCGACCGGAAGGUUCCGGAAUACGUGAGGGACCUGGAGAAAUGGCCCGCAAUGUGCCAAAAUCAGCAGACAUGUGUUGAGGAGAGUGAUGGAGAGCGGCUCAGGCCUGGACGUGACCUCCUGCCAUCUGAUGGGACGCCUCCCUUGACCCCCGCAGAGUGUGACACCAGGUGGCCUGUGCUGUCCACCCCGUGGCAGAGGGGCUUCCUGCGGGAGGAACUCACAGCCCCAAUUACUGUAAUCAGCCCGAUCAAAGAGCAGCAGAAGCCAGCAGGGCCACGAAAUGGACUGGAGGCAGCACCAUGCGGUUACAGCGGGAGAAGCACAGCAGUGAGAUAAGAGCAUCAAUGCAAGCUACAGAACAUUACCCAGAAUCCUCUCGCCUCCAUUUUCAAAAUGCGACUGCAGCGUCCUGCGAGUCCUCUGUGGUUCAUCACUGCUUCCUCCGGUCACAGUCGGAGUAUGGGACCCCUCACUGCCAUUUUAUGUUACAACGCUGCAUUGCAUGUGUGUUGAAAUCUGUACUUGGUUAACCAGGCCUUUUAUGUGUUAUAUGUAUCAUUAUAGAACCCCAAUGUAUCACGCAUAUAAAAAGUGAUUGUAGACGAUGGUCUGAUAUCCUACAAAUUUGUGUAGGUCUCCAUCAUGCACUUUUAAAGAGAAAGGAUCUGACACCCAACUGUGCUUAGUCAUGUCGGGCCACAACCCGGAGCGGACUGUCAGCACUGCUCACCAUCAGCCAACGUUUGCUUCGGUGAACAUUCAACGCUGUCGGUGAGUUUGAGCUAAAAAGAAAAAACCAUCGACCGUUGAUUGUACCCUGCAGCCAGCCUUGUGGUCGUCCCUCGCCUCCUCGCCCCGCCCAGCAGCAGAACCACCUCCAGACAAGCCCCCCUGCCCCCCAGGAUCCUGAAUGUACUGAAAAUUUUCAAAGGUCACAAUCAACAUUCAUUGCUGUCGGUGGGUUAAACUGUGUGGGAAAGCUCACUGAACAAUGAAUGCAACUGUGUCCCAGAUUUCCUCGGAGAAGCAUUGGGAAUGAUCUCCACGCAGGGGAUUAUUUCCUCUUAUUCAGUGUACCCGGAAAUGUUCAAAAAGCAUGGCGAAAUAUUGAAAUCCUGAAUGUGCUGUCAUUGUUCAUGUUUUAAAGAGGACUGAUAUGGAAGAACAGUCAAAUCUGCCGGUUUUGAUUUUCCUCAACUUCCUUAAUAAAUCAUUAAUGCAAAUGUGUGAUGUGUAAGUG
rnacentral:lncRNA from 1 species